AAAAAAUCCGAUUUCACCCACCCACGACCCUAAUCUAUAACGUGAGCAAUGAAAAAAUAUGUCAAACUUUUUCCUUUGGUCCACUCGGUUACCUUGCCUGUCAGGAAGCAAUUAUGAGUCACAAGUAUCAUUCCGCGGAAACAUUCCGGCGCCGAGCCGAGCCGUUUGCCAUUCCCUAAUCAAGGGAUUAGUUGUUAGUUGUCGAAGGUACCUAGGUAGGUAUGUCGAGUGGCAGUGACUGUCCCUCCGUCUCUUCUACAUACACAAGGUAUUGAAGCGUGCACCUAAUCAUUCAUCACGUUUGUCUCUCUGGUCGUCGUCGCCCGCCAUCGGCGAACAAACAAAAACAACGCAGUUUGUAUUUGCAUGGCGCGACGCGUCGCGACUCGCUAGCCGACUUUAGUGUUCGAUCCGACCAACGGAACUUUUGUUUUUCCUCUGAAUGCCAUUCUUAAUUUCGCGCUUCAAUUGAGGCGCAGCCGGAGGAGGUCUUGGGGAUCGUCGGCGUCGUGUACCUCUCUGUCUGUACGUAUUGGGUACGCUGCUGGCUUCAGGGCUCACCAUCGGAGAUGGUUCCACCGCCGCCGGAGUCUCUUUGGUUGAAUUUCCAAGGAAACCUAUUUUUGGGGAUUGCGCUGCGUGAGGAAUAACUGUCUUGUGCCGAACCCAGUCGCGAUAGCGGUCCGGUGGUCAAAUUCGUAAAUUGUUUUCUUCGACUGCUGAGCCCCCCCGUGCUAAUUUCACGCACCCGGCUUAAGAGUGUCGAAGCUUAAUUGCAAGGACCACUCGCUAGUGGAGUUCGUUCGGUAAGGUAAACCAAAUGCCAACACAGUAAAGUGUCGUCACCACCCCGGGCCUGAAGCCAUACCUACGGUGGGAGCGGAUGGACGGACGAAUCCAGAUGAAAUUUGAUGACUCUCCUAAGCGGCGCGGGGUAAAUUGGAGAGAGCGGAAGUCAACUUUUUUGUUUUCGGAGUUUACGUUCCCUUCCUCCUUUGGUUUCGGCUAUUGCUGCAAAGUGGAAAUACACCACAGCUAUGUGAGCGUU